rnacentral:lncRNA from 1 species
GAAGACUCGGAACUUGAUACAUCAAUGGAUCCGACUCCACAUGGGAGGUCAUCUGCAGCUGCAUCCUAGCCUCUUGAACGACCUCGAGGAGCUCUUCUUCGAUAUGCAAUUGUAUCCGACUGGCCUAUAUCAGACGGCCUACCGUGGUCCGUAUCUUGUGUAGCAUGUGUAAACUAAGACUCACCGGUGUAUCGAAAAUCUUCCUCCGGCUGU